rnacentral:rRNA from 1 species
UGCCAGCAGCCGCGGUAAUACGGAGGGUGCUAGCGUUGUUCGGAAUAACUGGGCGUAAAGGGCACGCAGGCGGUUUGAUAAGUCAGAUGUGAAAGCCCUGGGCUUAACCCAGGAAGUGCAUUUGAUACUGUCAUUCUUGAGUACGGGAGAGGGAAGCGGAAUUCCGAGUGUAGAGGUGAAAUUCGUAGAUAUUCGGAGGAACACCGGUGGCGAAGGCGGCUUCCUGGACCAAUACUGACGCUGAGAUGCGAAAGCGUGGGGAGCGAACAGGAUUAGAUA